AGCCCGAGGUCAGAGCUGACGUCGGAGGUUGCCGUGAGGUCAGCGUGAUGAAGCAGUCACGGAAGAAGCAGUAGGCAGCCAUUGAUGUGGUCAGACCCUCUGUCACCAGCCAGGGAGGAAGGAGAGGAAGAGGAGGAGGAAGAAGAGCUUGAGUAUGUCUUCUUCUUUUUUGUUAUAAUUGUUUUCUUCUUCUCAUGGCCGCGUUUCAUCACACGCAUUAGUUUUUAUUUUUACUCUUUUGCAUGAGUGUGUCCUUUCUAUUUUUUGGGGCGAGUUCUGGUUUCCAUUUCCGCUUCUAUUUUGCAUGCUGAUUUUCCAUGUGCAUGGCAUGUUCAUGCGUUCAUGUGUCAUCUGCUUUGAGGAGGAACAUGAACAUUGUGUGUGUUUGGGAGCAUGUGUUGUGCGGAAUAAAUGAUGUAAAAAGGUUUAGGUUUGACUUUUUAAAUAAAACUUUUUUGUAGAAGCAUGAA